UUGAGGCGAGCGGGGAGCGCGUGCUCUGCAGAGCACAUGGGCAGCAAAGCAGCCAAGGCAGCAACUCCAUUGCUCCCUCCGCCUUCCCCUCGCUGCACAGCCCAGGCCGUGGAAGCCUUUCCUAGACCCUUGUUUUUUUUUUUUUUUAAUUUAAAGGAUCCAUAUAUAUAUUUAUUUAUUUUUGCAACCGACUGCAACUUGGAUGUUUCUGGAGAACCUCCUCCUCCUCCUCCUCCCCCUUUAUCCGGCCUUGUUGUAGGGGAUGAUGGGUGGUCUCUGGGCUUCAGUUCCCAACCAAUCCGGGGGUUGCAGCAACAUCUCCAAGGUUGUGGGAUUUAUUGAAACACUCAGAAGACUCCUGAGAAUGUCAGCUGCAGACUAAAUGCCUUCAGGGGGAGGAAUUCAUUCUUUUGUACAUUUCACGAUUUGGUGCACAUGUAGCACUGAAGAUGGAUUAUUCUCUUAUUAUCACUGGAAUAUAUUUUUUUGGAAAAGGAAACACAACAAAAGCACGAAUCAUUCGAAUAUAAGGCUGCCCAAUCUUCUAUGUCAUGCAAGCAUGUUGCUGCCCAGAUAAUUGCAGAAGCAGUGGCCGAGGUUUGGAAUCAGAUCUGACACGGUGAAAUGAAAGACGGCAGCAGAUGCUGAGCGUAACAACGAAAGCGUAUGCACAGGAGAAACACAACAGGAUUUUUCUUUCUCCUUUCUUUCUUUCAAGCCGAUUUCUCCUUUCAGCAGCACCCUCUGAGCUAUCAGCUCACAACAUGAUGCUUACCUCAUCCAACAGCUUCAACCCAAAUCAAGCCAAAAUACCAAGGAAAUGAUUGUGGAUGGUAGAUAUAGAAUCCAUGGAUUCGAAGGACCAACUGCUCAUCUAAAUCAUAGGUGGAUUGGAGACCAAUUUCCCCACAACUCUCUUGCAGGUUGUUCCCAUACAAAUAUCUCCAUUUUCUUCUCCAUUUCCUCGUGAAAUUGUCACUGGAAGAAAUACUUCGUGAUACUUCAGUUUUGAGAAGGACCACAGAGAAAAAUGGAUGCUUUUGCAGAUUUCUGGAUGAAUUGGAUCUUUGAGUGCAACCUCACUAGAUAAGUAUUACAAGUCCUUCAUACUGGAGCUAAUAUUGGCAGGCUUCUCUGGAGCAAUAGAACUGGCCUGAUGCCCUUGGUUUCACUGAAGUCUGACUUGGGAACCCACCAGCACAGAAACAUCUUGACAGAGGGACGCAAGGAACAAUUAUGCCAGAUACAGCUUUCCCCACUAUUGCAUUCAUGUAAUGGGGACAGUUAUACCUUCCAGAAUAUUUCCUUGGAGUUAGAAAUUAUAAAUAAUACCAGGUCAGUGACUCAUUAACCUAUUGAUUGAUUAAUGUUUGAUUGUCCAGCACAAGUGAAACAACCCGGGGAAAGUUUAAGAAAGAGAAAAAAAACCAGAUGAAUAAAUCGUACUGUUGCUUAAUCCUAUAUCUGGCAGGGCCCAGUUGCAGGCAUGGCUGGAAAACUAUACAAUUAUAGCACUUUGAUUCAAUUUUAACUACCAUGGCUGCCUCUUAUGGAAUUCUGGGAUUAGUAGUUCGGGGGGCACCAGCACUCGUUGGUAGAGAAAGCUCAAGACUUUGUAAAACUUCAAUGGCCAGUAUUCCAUGUCAUUGAGCCAUGGCAGUUCAAGAAGUUUCAAAUUACAUUAAUUCAACAAUAUAGAUUCAGUCUAUGGUUUCUAGACUUAUACAUGAGUAUAUACAGUAGUCAGGUAUACUUAGUUAAGUUGCUUAAGUAGAAUUCUAAAUAGCUCUCUCUCAAGUACCAAUCCCAAGAUGCCAUAGGAUGGAACUGUGGCAGUUCACGUGGAUUGAUCGUGCUGCAUUUUUGUACUGUGGAUGGGCCUCCUGUUGUGCGCAUCUGAAUGGUGACCACUUGAUCCAGGGGCAAAACCAUAAAUCCCAGAAUCCCCCAGCUGGGGUCAAACUGACAGGGAAAUUCUGGGAAUUGUAGUUCAUUAGUGUUCCCAAGCUGAGCACUGAAUAGGUUUGUAUUUCUCAGAAUAUCCAAGUUGGAAUAUCCAAGCAUUUCAGUUUCUAAGUUUGGAACUAAACUACUUUGGUCACUCUUGUGUAAAGACAAAAGCCCAUAGGAAGAUGACUGAAAUAUAACUAUUCAGUAAUACCACAUCCGGCCCUAAAUGGAUCUUGAGUUAUUUCUUUCCUCCCUACUUUGUUGUCAGCUCAGACUACUGAAUUUUGGAGCUGCUGUUUGGAGCUGGCAUAAGGCCUGUCUUACCAUUCACUGGUUGGCAUUCCUGGCACAAGGUGAGCCCAACAGCACACCUUAGGCCAGAAUGUGAAAAUAGCAUCCCAAAACUGUAGCUGCUCUGCACUGGUAUUUGUUUCCUUUCCUCCAACCCUUCAAUAUAUUUUUGUGUGUGAGGUUUAACUUUGGGAUGCAUUUUUAUAUUCCUUCCUGGGAAAUCUUAUAAAACUUUUGUCUUUUCUGCCAUUCAUUGAUCUUGUGCUAUGACAGCAAUAGAAAUGAAACCUGCAUGAAAGAGCUAUAUCUGAUUACAUUCAAACAUUCAACUCGCCCCUUGUCAUUCUUUGUACCUGACUCUUAUUCUAAUUCAAAGCCUGACCAAAUUGCAAAGGCUUAAUUUGGAAGAUAUGGGGUGCAUCCACGUUGCAUCCAGUUAUAAAUGUGCAGAUGCCAUUUCUAACUGCUAUGGCUCCAUCCUUCAAAAACCUGUGAACUAUAGUUUUAUCAGGUACCUAGAAUUGUUUGUCAGAGAUUUUGGGUGCAUGUACACUGUAGAGUUAAUGAUGUUUGACACCAUUUGAACGGCCAUGUCUCAAUCCUGUGGAAUAUUGGGGGUUGUCAUUCGGUGAGGCAUCAGCACUCUUUGGCAGAGAAGGGUGAAGAUCUUUUAAAACCACAGCUCCCAUCAAUCCAUGGCAUUGGGCAUGGUAGUUAAACUGGUGUCAAACUGCAUUAUAUCUGCAGUGUAGGUGCUCCCGUUGUCUGUUUGUUCUCAUACUGCAAUUCAAGAAAUUCAGCAGAGUUUUGAAGGACCUCGUUGUUGGGUGCCAUCAAGUCAUUUCUAACUUACAGCAACCCAAAACUAAACCUCUCUCUGACUUAUGGAAAACUCAUGGAAACCUCUCUCUGAACAAAUAUUGCCAGCAAAAAAACCAUGAUAGCAUAGGCCAAUUAAAAAAAUCACGGGUUUUUCUUGGCAAUAUUUGUUCAGAGAGAGGUUUCCAUAGACUUCCUCUGAGGCCAAGAGACCCAAGGUUACCCAGUGUAUUUCCAUGACUGAAUGGGAAUUCGAAACAUCAGCUGCAUCUAUACUUACAAUUAAUGCAGUUUGACACCACUUUAACCGCCAGGGCUCAGUGCUAUAGAAUCCUGGGAUUUUAGUUUUACAGUGUCUUUAGUCUCUUCUACCAAAGUGUACUGGUACUUCACCAAACUACCAAUCCCCUGAACAGAAGUAUUUGCAGUGGCAAACUAUGAUGGGAACUCUUAAUAAAUAUGGAAAAGUAUUUUUUGGAACUAGAACUCCUUGUGUUGCCCCCCAUAGUACCAACCUUCCUUGGGCAGGAGGAAUGUAGAUUGUGGUUUGGGGCAAAGAUCCUACAUCAAAGAGGGCUGUCCCUUUGGGAGAGUUACAUUUGGGGGGAAACACACGAGUAAGGGACUGUCCCCUUGCUGUGCAGAAAAGAAGCCGAUUGUUAAUAACUGCUUGCCAGAAUAAUGAAAUAUUUAUAAUACUCUUUUCUUCUUUUGACUGUUCUAUUUCAGGAUGGAUCUGUAAGAAGAUUUAUUGAAAAACAAAACCUUUUUGAAAAAAGAUAAAGAUGAUUUGACUGUUACUGGAUUUGCCUAUUAGUAGAUUAGCAGUAAUUGAAAUAAGUGUGUAGUAGGGGAAACUAGAGAUAUUUAGAUAAUAUUGUUAUAUAUAAUAAUUGAUACACAGUGCUUCUUUUUCGUCAUCAUCCUUAUAUUCAGUAUGGAAGAUAUUUAGAAGUAUCCAUUGUAGAAAAUGUAGGUUUUUUUCUCUUUCUGGUUCGUUAGUUUAUUGUACUUUCUUUUAAAAAAUAAUGGAAAUAUAGAGUGAAAAGAUAUGGGCCUAUUUAUAAUUUUCAGUAGUUAAAAAGAAUUUAAGUUUUGUGGGCAAAGGGAGAGAGAUGAUUGGACUCACGGAAUAGUCAUAACAGUGGUUCAGGGCAGAGGAAGAUAAGGUAAGAUAGGACAGGAUCAUGGGGAAAGAGCCUCAAUUGGGUGUUGGUUGUUCCUAAACUGUACUUUGUUCUGAAUAAACUGGUUGGCUGCAGUAGUAGCCCCUGCCCUGGAUUGAGAAUGCUGCUGCUUAAGGCUAGGUUGCACCUGUUCUGGACUUGAACCUGUAUGAGCAUGAUGCUGCUCCAAUGUCAAAGAGACCUGGUUAGAUGAGGCUAGGAGGCUGGUUAAUCUCUUUGAUUUGCACACCAGGUUUCUCUGUGUUGCAGCAGAUGAGAUUAAGAGAUGGGGAGAUACAAUGGUUUAGUGCAGGGGUCCUUAAACUUUUUAAGCCGAGGGCCGGUCCACAAUCCUUCAGACUGUUGAGGGGCCGGAUUAUCAUUUGAAAAAAAUACAAACAAAUUCCGAUGCACACUGCAUAUGUCUUAUUUGUAGUGCAAAAACAACAACAACAACAAUGAAAGAACAAAACAAUAUUUAAAAAUAAAAUUUUUUAACCAACAUACAUUUUUCAGGAUUUCAAUGGGAAGUGUGGUCCUGCUUCUGGCCAAUGAGAUAGUCAAGUUAAUUAGGGUUGUUGUUGUUGUUGUUGUUGUUGUUAUGUGCCUUCAAGUCAUUUCAGACUUUGGGUGAGCCUAAGUCUAAAAUUUAUUUAUUUAUUUGCUAUAUUUAUUUACUACAUUUGUAUCACACCCUUCUCACCUCAAAGGGGACUCAGAGUGGCUUACAAAUUAUAUGUACAUACAAUAUAUUAUAUUAUUAGCAUAGCACAAUAUUAGCAUUAUAUAUUACUAUAUUGAACUAUACCACUAUAGUAAAGGUAAAGGUUUCCCCUGAUGUUAAGUCCAGUCAUGUCUGACUCUGAGGGUUGGUGCUCAUCUCCAUUUCUAAGCCGAAGAGCCGGUGUUGUCCAUAGACACCUCCAAGGUCAUGUGGCCGGCAUGACUGCAUGGAGCACUGUUACCUUCCCGCCGGAGCGGUACCUAUUGAUCUACUCACAUUUGCAUGUUUUCCAACUGCUAGGCUGGCAGGAGAUACCACUAUACUCUAAUAUUAUUAGUAAUAUUAUAUGUAAUAUAGAAUAUAUCAUUAAUAUUAUUAUAUGGUAUUAUUAUUAGUGUUAUAUUGCAUUACAUUAUAAUAUUAUUAUCAAUAUUAUAUGUAUAUAUAUUAUAUUAUAAAACUGAGGGCGGGGGCCAGGUAAAUGACCUCGGAGGGCCGCAUCUGGCCCCCGGGCCUUAGUUUGGGGACCCCUGGUUUAGUGAUUCCAUCUCCUUGACUAUCCCACAAUCUGUAGGAUUUGAGUGUAUUUAAAGAUCGAAGAGCCAUUGAAUCCUCACUUGGAUGUGAAAACCCACUGGGUGAGAUCACAGGAUCUCAGCAUGUGAUAGGUUGGUUUAGAGCAGGCAUGGCCAAACUUUGGCCCUCCAGUUAUUUUGGACUUAAACUCCCAUAAUUCCUAACAGCUGGUAGUGGGAGUUGAAAUCUAAAACACCUGGAGGAAUGAUGUUUGCUCAUGCCUGCAACAACAUCAACAAUGAUUUAAAGCUGGGUGGUCAGGACAGAUUGGACAAUGCGGUUGCUGUUGCCCGUUUUUGGUCUAAAACUAUUUAGUUGCUUGUGAUUUCCUUUUUUUCAUCAUUUUAAAAUUUAUUUGUUAUGCAAUGCUUUUGACACGAAAUAAAUAAAGGUCAACCCUGAAUAGUACUUGGAUGGUAAACUGACAAUGAUUAGGUUUUGUAAGCUAUAUUUGAGAGCAAUGCAAAACUAUGUCUUUAGUCUUCUUUGCCUAAGGAAACCCUAUGAAAAUCAUGAUGUUGCCAUAAAUUAACAGGCAUAUUUAAGUCUCACACACACACAGACACAAAAAAGUUUGUGAUGGCAUUGGUUUUCACAGAAGCUCCCCUUCCUCAAAUGCCUAGGCUGUUAUCGUUAGGUUGAGAUAUACGGAGGGGCGGAACUGUGAGUAGCGAGGUCAGGCGGAAACGGAAUGCAAAAAAGUAUAGAUAAUGUCAAAUCAAUAUGAGCUUGGAUAGAUGUAAAGCCCGUACAGUGGCCUUUUGCAAUAUCAGCGAUAGGAGAUAAUGCAAUCAACUUAAACAACAAAGAGUCAGUCUUUAAGGUGGCACAAGACUGUAGUUAUUUUUACUGUCGUGAAAUAACAGAGCCAGCCUUCUGGCAAUCAUUAAACAUCAGUUUACUCAUGCUGAGUCAUUGAAUAUCUGCAGCGGGGACAGGAAACCAUUAUCUUUGUUCAGACCGAAGUAAUUAGAACUGAAUUUUUUCACGAAUUGGAUUUUAACAUUUUCAUGCUGAAGCCUCUCUUUCAAAUUUCUUUGUUCAAGGAUUGCCACCACAAGGUCAAUAGCUGGGCCUUUACUUAGUCUGAAAUGAUCCCCCGCUGUGUUUUUUGAAUGUUAAAAUCCUAGAGGGAUUGUCCUGUUUAUCCUAUCUGGAAUGCAGAAGGGCAUUCUAGUACUUGGUGGCUUAGAAAAGCCACCAGAUUUCCAGAUCUGAUCAGUUUGUGACAAUUCUUGUACUGUGCGGAAAUUCAUCCAAUGACUUUUGCAGGUGUGCAAUGGGAUGCUUUCAGUUCAAGCAUAACGUUAUCUUAGAUCUCACUGAUUAGCCAUUUUGGACCACUGUCAGAUGUCGUCAGCCAGCCAACAUGGCAACUGAAUGUCCUGACUGGAAAAUUCUGGGGACUUUAUAGUUGGCCUUCCACUUGUGUGAGUCUGAUUUUUGUGGAUUGGAUUUUUUCUAAGUUCUCUGAUGCAAGUUUUUGGUCAAUUUCUGAUGGAUGAACCAUAGGGCCAUGCUGGAAGGCCUGGAGUCAUACUGGAGGAGCUGAAGUCAUGCUGGACCAGAAUCUAGAUAUCCACCAAAAGUUGAUCAUGGAGUCAUGUUGGAGGCCCUAGGCAUGGACAAACUUUAGCCCUCCAGGUGUUUUGGACUUCAACUCACAGAAAUCCCAGCCAUCUUACCAGCUGUUUAGAAUUGUGAGACUUGAAGUCCAAAACAACUGGAGGGCUGAAGUUUGCCCAUGCCUGCCCUAAAGUCAUGCUGGAAGACUGGAAGUUCACCAUAGAAUCAUGCUGGAAGACCUAGAAAUGUUGGAAGAUCUAGGGAAUAUCUCUAGGUCCUUCAGUGUGAAUCUAUGCUCAGCUUUUGGUGGAUAUUGUUGUUAUUUAUACCUCAAUUUUCUCUCUGGCUUGAGACCCUUAGAGUGGUGCUGGAAAACCUUCCUAAAGAUCCCUAGAGAAGUGUUCUCAUGGUCCUAUGCCCCUAACCCCAGCAGAUGUGGAAGGCUAACUGUCGUCCAAAAUAAGCACAUAUCUCAAGUUCUAGUACAGACAGAAAGAUUUAAAGCAAACAGAAGGAGAUGUAUUGACAAUUAAACAGAUUACCAAAGCUAUUUUGCAGUCAUACCAUAAUAUCAUGCCAGAGAACCUAGAGAUGCUGAGGACCUAAGGAAAUCUCUCUAGUGAUCUCUAGGUCUUCCAGUGUGAUUCUAUAGUCAGCCUCCAGUGGAUGUUGACCAUGAUGGAGGGGAACUUAGAGAGUCCUAGAGAGAUUUUGCUAGGUCUUCAGCAUUUCUAGGUGCUGUUUCCUUAAACCUAUAGCACAGGAAUGGGCAAACUUUGGCCCUUCGGGAGUUUUUGUACUUCAACUCCUACAAUUCCCAACAACUUACUGGCUAUUAGGAAUUGUGGGAGUUGAAGUCCAAAUCACCUGAGGGGCCAAAGUUUGCCCACAUCUGCUGUAGCAGAUGUGGAGAGCUGACUAGUGCUUUUCCUGUAUGGCAGGGGAUUGGACUAGUUGACCCAUGUGGUUUCUUCCGACUCUGUUAUUAUAUGAUUCUAUGACUAAUCCAAAAUAAACAAAUCUCCCAAAUUCUGGUGCAGAUGGUUUGAAAGGUUUGACGCAAACAGGAGGUGAUAUAUUGUAAGGCAACCAAACUAGCAAAGUAUCUUUCCAGGAAAAUCACACUUUAUUAUUACCUGUGAUUCCUAUGCUGAUGCUGGCGAUCCGCAGUGUUGGAUGCCCAAUAGCUCUAGCCUGUUAUCAGUUGUGGGAGAUGUGCUGCAGAAUAUAGGAAAAAAUAUUCUUUUAGUGAAGGAAUGUGGGGAGCUUAUGCUUUCUGAGCCAUUCCCCACAGUUCCGCCCUUUGUAUGACAAGCAUCAACAGAGGAUUCAAAGGCACAUUGACUGGUGUUUAACUCUGUUUACCGAGUCCUUGGAGGGCAUGAGAGGUCAUUUUUCUGAAGGCGAUGAGGGAGCAGAGGGCAGGCGCAUAAAGAGCGAGAGGCCACAUGGGCCUGUCACAUUCCUUUCAUGAAAGGUAUCGGCAGUGACGGAAAUUUGACAGGAGAAUGAAAGAGGGGAGAUGGGGGACGGAGAAGCACACUGUCUUUUCAUCCUGCUGUGUGUCUUCCUCUCCGCAACCUCCUCCUGCAACAGAGAUGGCAGCUGAGAAAGUGAAGUGAAUGGGGAGGGAGGGAGGGAGGGAGGGAAAUGCAAGACAUCUUUUGAAUGGCUGCCAAGGUUGAUUUAAUUAGCUGCAUUGAAUUCAUUAACUUUUUUCCCUCUCUAAUGACGUGUCUCUGCUGUGAAGCGCAAAUUAGGAGUGGUGAGCCUUGGCGGAGCACGACGCUGACCUGCCAAAAGACCCAGCAAAGCAGAAAGAUUGACCUACUUUUUAUCAAAUCUGAAGGGAUCGCCUUUUAAACCUCUCCUUGGAUAGACACUAAGCUGCACUUCUUCUCUCCUCCUCCUCUCUCUCUCUUUUUUCUUUUGCUUCUCCACGCAAGGCUUUGCCUCCCUGCUUUUAAUCUCUCCACCGCAGCCUCAGGCUAAACCAGAAAAUCCGCACCUCUCAUCAUCAAAUGCAGCUAGGUUCCCCACACUGUCUCUCUCUCACACACACACCAUGUGGAGCUGACUUCAUGCACUGGCUCAUUGAGGACCUUUACAAGUCAGCAGGUUGCAUUCUGAGCUGACACACUCUAUGUGUACCAAGCAGCUACGUUUUUAUGGAGAUGGAUUUUGUUGGGCUCAGAUGCACACACAAAAUCAACGAGGGCGAAUUUCAGAUCGGGAUUGCCUCAAGAGAGCCCAGCAUGGUGUAGUAGUGGCUUGAGCAUUAGAUGGGGACACUGAGAGAUCAGGGUUCAAAUACCCACUCAACCAUGGGAACCCACUGACCUUGGACAUGUCACAUUCUGUCAGCCCCAAAGGAAUGAAAAGGCAAACCCCAUCUGAAAAACCUCUGCAAAGAUAAGCUGUGAUGGGUUCACCUUUGGGUCACCAUAAGAAAUGACAUGAAGGCACACAGCAAUAAAGACAGCAUUAAGAAUGCGAAAGGCCUUGCUAUGUGAUAGUGGAGUGGACUGUUGAACUGGGAACUGAGAGAUGGCCAGAGUGAGUCCCUACUCACCUGCGAAAUCCACUAGGUGACCUUGGGUUGGCUGCUCUUUCUUAGGGUGCAUAUACACAGUAGAAUUAGUGGAGAUUGACACCACUUUAAAUUCCAUGUCUCAGUGCUAUAGAAUCAUGAAAUUUCAUCAUCAUAGGUGAUCACUCGUGGCCAAGAAUGGUUGUUUUCCAAAGGUAGAGUCAUGUAGUAUAGUGUGAGGAGCCAGCGCUUUUUGGAAAAGAAGACCUUGCAAAACUACACUUCCUUGGAUUGCACAACAUUAAACAGUGAUGCUCAAAGUGACGUCAAACUGUAUCAGUUCUGCUGUUGAGCAGCUCUUAGCAGUUUGAAUCAAUUGUUCCAUGUCCUAAUCUCUACAGCAGUAGAAAACAAGCUUUUCCCUUGUCCAAUAUGACAUACUUUCAAGUACAGUAGAGUCUCACUUAUCCAACACUCGCUUAUCCAACGUUCUGGAUUAUCCAACGCAUUUUUGUAGUACGUGUUUUCAAUACAUCGUGGUAUUUUGGUGCUAAAUUUGUAAAUACAGUAAUUAGUACAUAGCAUUACUGUGUAUUGAACUACCUUUUCUGUCUAAUUUGUUUUAUAACAUGAUGUUUUGGUGCUUAAUUUGUAAAAUCAUAACCUAAUUUAAUAGGCUUUUCCUUAAUCUCUCCUUAUUAUCAAACUUAUUUGCUUAUCCAACGUUCUGCCGGCCCGUUUACGUUGGAUAAGCGAGACUCUACUGUAUUGUCUUCUCUCAAUGGUCUCUUCUCCAAGCUGAAUUUAUCAGCUCCCUAAGCCACUCCUUAAAGCUUAUCAUGUUCCCUCUCAAUUUUCUCUUCUUGAAGCUAAACGUACCCAGAUCUUUAAAUUCUCCUCAUAGGGCUUGGUUUCCGCAAAUUUUCCUAGCUUUUCAAUAGCCUUCCUGAGUCAUUGUGCCGAAAACUGGACACAAUAUUCCAGGCAAGGUCUGAGCAAAGCGGAAUAGAGUGGCACUAUUAUUUCCCUCAAUCUAGAUGUGAUACUCCUAUUGAUGUAGCAUUUUUCCUCAGGCAAAACUGGAGUGUGCCAUAGAACUAUCAACUAUUCUCUUUUUUUAAAGCCAUCUAAGACAAGGUGUAAACAUUUCACUUGGGUGUUUUGCUAUGCUGCCUUUUCUCAUUCGCAAUGAGUAUUGGAGUUGCGGGAGGUGUCUUGAAGCUUUGGCUUGCUGUUUUGAGAAUUCCACAAUACUUUGGGAUGGUAUUCUGUCUGCAUGAUCAGUUGUAUGUAUCUAUUAAGAUCCCAUGGGGCUCAGUUAUGUGUCCAUCAGAGCCAUUUGUGCAGCAGGCAACAAAUGGCCAAUCAUGCAGAGAGGAGUUAGCCUUCUUUUUUUCUCUGUCUUUGUGUCCCAAAUUCCUGGUGCACAAAAUGGAACAAGAGAGCUAUUAAUCUGUUCAAGCAAAAUAGCCGUAUUAGUUCAGUGCCUGCAGAAACAGAAGGCCUUUGGGAAGUAGAAGGAAGACAGAACAACAGUUUUGGUACCAAUAAAAAAUUACAAACUCCAUACACAUAUUUGACAAGUUCUGUCCAGAACAAACAGAACAAUAUGGGAACUGUUAUUAGUGAAACCUCAGACUUUAUUGAUUCCAUACUUUUAUGAUGCCCUUUAUGAAAUGUGUCUACGCAUGUGCCUUCAAGUCUUCUAUGGAGACCUCAUGAAUUUCAUAGGGUUUUCUUAAAUGAGGAAUACUCAGAGAUGGUUUUGCCAGUUCCUUCCUCUGAAAUCUAAUCUACAGCACCUGGUAUUUGUUGCUGAACUCCCAUCCAAGUACUAACCAGGGCUGACAGAUCAGAUGGGAUCUGGUGCCCUUAAGGCAGUGGUUCCCAACUUGUGAUCCGUGGACCACCCGUGGUCCACCAGAACUAAAAUAUGGUCCACGGCCUCACCGUUACUACUGCGGAUAAUAACACAGCCCAAUUAAAAAAAAUGUCUUGGUGUCUUUGUUUUUAGGCCUGUUCUUGGGGUUAUCAAAGGUGCUGAUUCAGAAAAUUGCAUUGGAUAGAUCACAUCAACUCUAGAUUAUUAAAUAUGGUUUACUGUGGGUGAGCAGAUGGCGACUACUGGAUGGCACAUGUUCUGUAUCAGAAACUAGAGUUGAUGUGGUAUAUCCAAUGCAAUCAGCACCCCAAAUAACCAAACCGAAUCUAAAAUUCACCAAAAACUGAUUCAUAACCCCUUUGGUACUAAUGUUGUAGAGUGGUCCUUUGUAAAAGUGGCCCCUGGUCAAAAAAAGGGUUGGGAACCACUGUCUUAAGGUGUUUUUAGCCAUCUUGUGUGAAGUAGUACUUCCUUUUGUCUGUCCUAAAUAGGUUUGCCAGACUUGAAGAGAUCUCCUGUGUCUUUCAUAGUUGUAUAAUUUCCAUUUCUGCCCAACCAUGAAAGGUACAGGAGUCUCCUCCCGUUUUUAAACUAGCAACUGUAGUUCCAAAUGCACUACCAGCCGAGUUUCAAGGGCUAACUCCCAAAUUUCUAUUUUUCCCCCACAGGGAGGAGCGGAUGUAUGUGCUUUCUAUCUGUCCAUCGCUGUAAGCUAUUUUAAAUAACAACAAAAACAAGAUUGUGUUAGGGGUUUUCUUUAAGCCUUAAAUUCCCCCCAGAUCGUAUAUACGCAAUUGGUCUUCACUACUAGAGUUAUUUGCUUUCUCCAUUGGAAUACCUUGCUUUGGUGAUACAAGGACUUCUACUGUAUACAUCUCUGAAAGUGGGCACCUAACCUCCAUAACUGAAGCUCUGUGGAGGACAUCAUAACUGUGUUCUUUCCUGAACAGCCUCCCUUUCAUCUAGCAAGCCUUGCAUUCCCCCAGUUUGCAUUACCAAAGAAAAGAAGCAAAAGGGAGUUUGGUGUUAAUUAUAUUCCAGAAGGUGACGAUGGCUUAGCGAGAGACCUGCCCUUACUGCUGGCUCCAAAGAUCUGCCUAACAUAAGACUUUCACAGAUUCCUCCUAACACAAGUCUUCUUUUCACUUGGGAUUUUUUUUUAUUGCUUCUAAACACCUCUCCCCCUUCUUAUGGGACUACAUGGUGCUUCGUUUCAGAUGGGCCCCAUGAAUUAACAUAUUGUACCUCCUUGCGGCUCAGGUAAAUUGCAUGCUCAGGUUGACCGCUGCUCAGACACAAAGCAUCCUUCACCAGUUUACAGGCCAGACUAUAAAAUAUCGUCAAAGAGCCCUCCACUUGGGAGAAAGGGCAUGGAAGAGAAAUGCCGUCAACAAAGGCAAGGCUGUCUAUAACUCAUUUAGGAAACUAGGCCAUGCUUCGGAAAAAUCAGAUUAACACUUGCGUUGGACAGAACGGAGGAAUGUCAGUCUUGGAGGAUUCGGAACAUUGACAUAAUAUUCAUGGCAGUUUCAUAAAACACUAAAGCCAGAAGAGACCCCCAAGGGCUAUAUAGACCAACUGGACAUGCAGGAAAAUGCAGUCAAAGAAGCCCCAGCAGAUGGCCAUCCAGCUUCUGCUUAAAGACCUCCAUAGAAGGAAACUCCACCACAUUCCCAUGGAGCGUAUUUCACGGUUUAACAGCUCUAACAACCAGCAAGUUAUUCCUGAUAUUUAGAUGGAAUCUCUUUUCCUGCAAUUUGAAUACAUUGCUCCAUUCCUAGUCUCUAUAGCAGCAGAAAACAAGCUUGCCUCUUCAAUGUGACAUGCUUUGAAAUAUUUAAAUGUGGCAGUCGUGUCCCCUCGCAGCCUUCUUCUACAAGCUCUAAACUGCUUCUCAUAGGGCUUCCAAACCAUUGCUUAUUUUGUUUGUUAUUCUCUAAAACAAGUUCUGACAUGUCAAUAUCCUUCUUGAAUUGUGGCUCCCAGACCUGGACACUAUAGUCCAGGUGAGGUUUAAGUAAAGCAGAAGAAAAUGAGACUGACUUCCCUCGAUACUGAAACUAUACUUCUAGGGCCUAGAAUCAUACUGGCUUUUUUAGUUUCUGCAUCACAUUGUUGACUCAUGUACAGCAUGUGAUCUGCUAAGGCCCCUUCUACACUGCCAUAUACAAUCCAGAUUAUCUGAUGUGAACUGGAUUAUAUGGUAGUGUAGACUCAUAAUAUAGUUCAAAGCAGAUAAUGUGGAUUAUCCGCUUUGGUAAUCUGGAUUAUAUGGCAGUGUCAAAGGGGCCUAAAAUUCCUAAAUCCAUUUCAUGUGUACUUUUGUCAAGCCAGGUAUUGCCCAUCCUAUUUCUGUGCAUUUCAUUUUUUAAAACCUAAGUAGAGCACCUUGCAUUUCUCCCUGUUGUCCUCAUGUCUAACCAUGUCUAGCCGUCCUGGUGGAGAAAAGGCAAAUAUAUGCUUUGAAAAUGGAUCAGACUGGGCUAUGGGGCUGGCCCCAUCAUUAGGCAGAAUAAGACAGUGAUCUAGGCUGGCAGCAACAAAAUGUUAGAGGAAAAAACAAUAUGCCAGGCAUCUUGCCUAGUGAGUUUGCUGCCUUCAGGUUUUGGUACAAGUUGCUUUUUGGGUUGCUUGACUGAAAAUUGUAGAAGACAUUUCAACACUUGUUGCCUGGUUGCAUUAUAAGCAACAGCUGCUGAAACUGUCUUCCAGCCUUUGACCAACCUUAUAGGUUGCAUUAAGUAGGAUGAGGACUGGAAAUGAGGAUGCGAGAGAGAACAUUUCGGUGUGUCAGCAGGCAAGUGCAUCCUUACCCUCCAAAACUCCUGCUAUUGGUUCAUAUGAUGGUCCAGGCUGUCUCUAAGGGUGCAGUCACACUGUAGAAUCAAUGCAGUUUGACACCACUUGAACUGCUAAGAGUUCAGUUCUAUGGAAUCAUUGGAGGUAUUAUUCAUUGGAGGAAUAUCCAAGGUAUUUAGUCCUCACUGUCUCAGCAAUGACAGGAUAAUGUUAUAAUAGCAUUUUUCACAAGGUUUUGUGAACCGCACAGUGUUUUCCAAACCCUGGUUUUCCAGGUGUUUGAGGUUUUAGCUCCCAAGCUCCAUGAAUUCUCCCCCCUCCUCGUUGUUGUUGUUGUUGUUGUUGUUGUUGUUGUUGUAAUGUAUUGCUUGUCCCUCUCUUUUUUCUCCUGGGAGCCCAAGUCCAAAACACUAGAGUUUUGAAAUCAUUAAGUUGGAAACUUCACUUUAUUAUUUAUGAGAAAAGCAGAAAUUGGUAACAACAGGUAUUUAACAUAUGAACAGGAAAGCUUUUUAUGAGGUUACUGCAUUUUUUUUUGGAUGUUUUAAAAUGUUUUUAUACUGGUUUUUAUUGUGACUUAAAAAACUGUUUAGGAAGCAGCUUUGGGUCCCACUCUAGAAGAAAGGCAGCAUAGAAUGCAAUUAAAAACGAGCAAGUUAAUAAAUCCUGCAUCAAAAUGCCACAUUUUGGAUGUCAGGUGGUUGGACUGAAUAGUCCUAGUGGUCUCUUCCGCCUCUGUGGGUUUAUGAUCCCUUUUAGCUUUGUGGCUUUUCCGGGCUUUAGCAAAAUCUUUGUAUGCCCUGAGUUCAGGUGCAACGAGACUAUGGAAUCAAAUUAAGCUUGUGCUAGCAAAAUGUGGUCAUUGAAAAAAGGGAGGCGAUAGAAUAUUAAAGCCUUCUUCUAAGUUGAAUGAAAUAAUGCAACGGCAGCAUUUUCUCUCUUCAGAUGCCUUCUACUAAAGACCUUCUGAGAGGGAAAGAGCUUUGGCCAACCCAGGGCAGCCGGCUAAGCUAGAGUCUAUGAGUUCAAAGUUAAGAAGGAUGCAAGAUUUGCAGGAGCAAACACAUCUGAGGUUCGGCUGAUAAGAUAAAGUUCAAAGUCAAAAGAGAAGUUAAUUUACUUUUCUCCAGCCCAACUUACAAAAAGGUGUACCCUGAAUCUGACAGUUUCUUCCAAGUGCUUAUAAGCAUUUUUCACAUAUGCCAGAAUUAUUCCUGUGAAGGGACGCAUCUACACUGUCGAAUUAAUUGAGUUUGACGCCACUUGAGUGUGCCUCACCAAGUUGCAACUCCCAUGCUUGCAUAGCUUUGAAUUGUGGCAGCUAAAGUGGUUUCAAACUGGUUUUCAACAGAAGUGUUCCAGCAGGAGUGUAUCACCUUUUCCUUCAAAUCUGUUUCCAACAUCCCAAAUCUUAAAACCGCUCCUUCUUUUUCCUUUGAUAUUUAUUAUACUUUUCUGACAAUUUCAUACUAGACUUGCAGUGACCAACCCAAAUGUACUAAGAGCAUAUAUAUUUGCUUUUCUACACAUUUGAAAUGUGCAAGGAGGAAAAGAAACGUUGGUUUUUUCAUCAUCCCAUCAGUUACUACAUUUGCCUUUUCCUGUAUCAUAUUUACACAAGUUGUUUGUUCAUUAGAAUUGCAUUGCUUUGUCUUUCUAUUUAAUUCAUGAUUGCAUUUCAUUUAAAUGUUUCAUUUCCUUAUUUGUGACCUGCAGCUUUUACGUUUUCCCAUGAAUUGGCAUGAGAGUGUCACGGUCUUUCUUACAGAAGCAAGUGACCUGAACAUCAGACAAACAAGGAAGUAUAAAAGCAAUUUCUGAAAAGACAUAAUGACGGGAUUAAGUAAUAUUUCCCUCCAUUUGCUAUGUUCACCGGUGUGUGACCAUCUCGGAUGUAGUCAAUGUUUAUAUGUAUGUAUGUAUGUAUCAGUGAGAGAGAAAGUUGCAGGCAAAAUGAUUAUUCCGGCCCUCCCCAUUACAUUUUCUUCCACUCCCUAAAUAUAUAGCACUUACAACUUCAUCUGAACAUUUAGUAAUACAGUAGAGGCACCCAAAGAAAAAAGGUAGACGAAUUCAGCAAGAUAAUAAAAACACCAAAGUGAGCCCCUAGCAUUGAGCCAUAGCAUUAAAUUGGUGUCAAACUGCAUUAAUUCUACAGUGCAGAUGCAUCUCAAGAGCAUCCUUCAGUUUGUCAGCUUUUUUCAUCACGUUCCCAAAGUAACUCUCCUUGCUGUUAUUAUUUGAGGCUUCUAUGUGGAAAGAUGAUCUAUCAACAUGUUGGACACAUUUGCUUAAAUGCCUCUUAGUUGAAAUUUGGGCAGCUUAAAAUGCCACCCUGUCUUUUCCUGCCCUCUCUGCUCUCCUUACCUUUAAAUGACCUAUUCUGUCUGUUGAGGGGAAAUUAAUGGCUCCAAAGGAGCAAAGACUGGACAGAUGACAUUUGGAACUCAUUCAUGACUAGGAAUGAUUGACUUCCAUUUGUUUCACUUGCCGUUAGUUGCAAAAUAAAUGCCUGCUCCUGUCCUGGUGCAGUCAGUGUCAGCCGUGACUGAGCCCCUUGAAACCAAUGCAUCAAUGCGAGGUGUGUUUAAAGGCCAAGCUAGUCAAAAUGGGAAAGCACAACGCCAGAAGCACAAAGAAAUGCAAAAAGGUAGUAGAUGUUGCAAAAUGCCUUAAGACUUUUUAAAAGAAUCGCUGUGUUCAUCUACACUGUAAAUUUAAUGCAGUUAGAUACUACUUUAACCAUGGUUCAAUGCUGUGGAAUUCUGGAAUUUGUAGUUUAGUGAGAUGCCAGCACUUUGACAAAGCUAAAGACUUUAUAAAAUUACAACUCCCAUUAUCUCCCAUUAUUCCAUAGCAUUGAGCCAUGGCAGUUAUAGUGGUGUCAAACUGCAUUAACACUGCAGUGUAGAUGCAUUCACUGUUGCAGAGAAUUAGUAGUUUAGUAAGAUGCCAGCACUUUGGCAGACAAAGCUAAAGACCGUAUAAAAUUACAACUCCCAGGAGUUUGAGACUCAAAUUCCAUAUUCCCCACAAAUGCCGGUCCCCAAUGUUCACGGUAGCCUCCAAUGAGUAGAGUAGUGCUUUUCAGUUUAAACCAUCUUUGCAACACGUUUAGCUGUAAAUUCUGGAGUAUCCCAGGGCUUCGGAGCAUUCAGAUAGCAGAAGUGGGUCUGUGUUCAUCAGCAUAGUAAAUGGGGAUGGAUUGUAUUCAUGUUGCCAUCAUUCCUAGCCAGCCAUGGAGUUCCAGCCAAGCUCCUAGUUGGCAAAAGCAGUGAUGAAGGCAAAGCAGAGAAGGUGAUGGUCCAGCAGUGUGGAUGUGUUCCUGGGCUUUCUGGAGAAUGACCUGGAUUUGGCGUUUACACUGGACUAAACUCCCACAUGUAGAUGGUGAAUUUCUUAAAAUCUGACUUUCAUAAUAUUGGUAAGGCUCGUAACUGCAAGGUUAGAGAAGCUACUGUCAGCAUCCAUGGUUGAGUGAAUGUAAAUUAUGUCGAAUAUAUUUUGUGUGUAUUUUGGGGAAAUUACACACUCUCAGCCUCAAAAAAAAACUGUAAAAGGCACUUGCAAUAGAGUCACCAUGACUUGUAAGAAUGCAUCUUGACUGUAGAAUAAAUGUAGUUUGAUACCAAUUUCAGCAUCAUGGCUCAGUGCUAUGGAAUCAUGGUUUUGUAAAACUGCAGCCCCUGUGAUGCCAUAACAUUACGCCACAGCAGUUGAAGCAGUCUCAAAAUUGCAUUAAUUCUGCAGUGGAGAUGCAACGUGAGAUGGCUUCAAGGCACGCAAUAAUAACAGCAUUAUCGUGAUUUAUGUAUAUUCUUUCUGAAAACCUGUACCAGAGCUCAGAAGUAACCAGCUUAGGUAAAGGUAAAGGUUUCUCCUGCCGUUAAAUCCAGUCAUGUCUGACUCGGGGUUGGUGCUCAUCUACAUUUCUAAGCCGGAGAGCUGGUGUUGUCCAUAGAAACCUCCAAGGUAUGUGGCCGGCAUGACUGCAUGGAGCGCCAUUACCUUCCCGCCAGAGCGGUACCUAUUGAUCUAAUCACAUUUGCAUGUUUUCGAACUGCUAGGUUGGCAGGAGCUGGAGCUAACAGCGGGAGCUCAACUGCUCCCGGGAUUUGAACCUGGAACCUUUCUGUCUGCAAUUUCAGCAGCUCAGUGCUUUAACUCACUUCGCCACCGGGGCUCCAGUUUACAAACAAGCAAUUUUCAAAUAGAUUGCUGUACCGCUCAAAGGAUGCUUUGUUCACCUCCUGACCCUAUGAAGAAAUGGAUCUUGCCCCCAAAGUUGUCACAGGAGUGUGUACUAAGUACCAUGGUAACCUCAAGUCAUUUGGCUGCUUAAGGCCAAGAAGAAAAUGUUCAUUCCAGUCCAUUUAAGGUGCAGCCAGGGGUUCAUCCAUACUGAUCACAUAAUACCAUUUGAAGCUAGUUUUAAACCACAUAGCACCAAAGUGCGCUGCAGCAGAGCUUGAAGUACUUAAAGCGCAUCAAGUAAAGUCAGGAAUGUCCAAAAUUAAGUCUCUUAAUGCACUUCAGCAAGUUCUAAAUGUAAACCAUAUUGCAUGGUGAAAUCAGCUUAACAGCAUGUGAAGUACAUUGUAGACAUCCACCCAUGCUGAAGCGCAUUGUAAAAUUCAGAACAUGGGAAUGGGCUGCUGAAAAACACCCCAAAGGAAUGGCUAGGCAUCUGGUAACGCCACUGCUGUCACUUUCCCUUCUUGUUUCCUCCAGAGCACUGGUACACUUCUUGCCCAGAAAUGGGAACAAAAAUGCAUUCUCUGGCUUCUGUAACCAGUUCGAGACAUCAUCUGUGGUUAAUGUUAUCACCUUUCUGGUCUCAAAUUUGUUCCCAAAAUGUUAAUCUAAUCCACCUUGCAGCGAAACCAGUUCCAGACUGACCUAAGGACCCUUCUACAUUACUCAUUUAAUUCAGUUUCAAAGUGGUAUUGAAGUUUUUUUUUCACGCUGCGGUUGAUUUUAUCAGAGUGGCUUUGCUAGGCACACGCAGCAGAAGUCACUGACGAGGAAGCUCUGGAUAAAUGAUGACACUGCAGUCUUCUGUUGUCUAUCAGAAGUUUACUUACGAACGGAAAUCUACAAGACGAUACACAGCUCUCACGCAGGCACACACAGGAAGGGACAGAGAGAAAAGAUAGGAAGUAGAGGGCUAUUCAUCUCAGCCUCUGCUGUCUGAUGCAAUCCAAGCUUAACCCUUUACACACUGGUAUAGUAAGCAGUGUAUGAUGCAAUCACAGUGUAUGAUGCAAUCUCCAGCACACAUUGCACCACCAUGACUCAAUUACAUUUAAACAACUCUAUAUACAAUCAUUCCCACUUCAACAGAUUUCAUAGGAAAUCUUGGAAUCAGAUUGAAGCUCAGAUGGUGAUUUCACAAACCAUAGAACAAUGAUGCACAUGAAAGGCUUUCUUUCACAUGCUUUUGUGGGAGUUUGUUGGCUGGCUGUUACAGUUUUAAGCUAUUUUCGAGCUUCAUUCAGUGGUCAGUGUACGUGAGCCCUUGGUUAUUUUGGCACAUUAUAGAAAAAAUUACAAUAAAAAUGGAAUUAAAAAUUUGCUCUUUUUUUUGGAAGCAGAGCCUUGUUUUGCCCAAUGGUAUGGCUGGCCAUGUUUUGUAGGACAGCUAUCUCUAGUAUAAAACCUGGGUCUACUUACCAAAAAAUGCAAGAUAUGCUAAUGACUUUUAGAAUCAGCCACAGUUCUGACCUUGCACCGUCUCGCCUGUGUUAUAUUUUGGAGUUCUGCUUGGAGUCGCACAGAGAUAUUUGUUUCUAACCACGCGGAGCUUUUGUGCCAUAUUCUUUUAAACUAGCACAACAAGGAGGCCUUGAGUUGCCUUUUAAAGCUUGUUUUUGAGGACCGGGAUAAAAAAAAGAGGCUGCUUGGGAAAGAGUUGCUCUUAUCCGCCUGUCUGACAUGGCCUUGUCUUGUUUUUGUUGCUGAAGAAAUGGCUCCUUUCUCUCUCACUUGUUAUUUGGAAAGAGUCUGAAAUAAUACAAUAUUUCAGCGUUCUGCACACAUCUCCAAGUGGAAAAGUAAACUAAAGGAGCAGAUGAAAUACAGAAGACCUGCAGUAUACCUAUAACAACAUAGGUAGUUAUAACUAGAAUUUAUUUGCUAUGACAUCCAACUAUGUUGUAUUGUUUCUCCUUUCUCGCUGAACCAACUGCCUGAAUCACUGUGAGGGCAUUGGGAUCUUCGCAAAUAUUUCAACUUUUUUAUGGUUUAUAGUUUUAACUAGUUUAAAUCUUUUUGGUCAUUCAAUCACUUUAUUUUGUGAACUUUUAACUAUUUUUUUUUUGUUAUUCUCUUGUACACUGUCUUGAAUCUCAAACUGAGAAAAAGGCCAGGAAUAACAGCAGGAGUAGCAACAACAUUUUUCAAGAAGGAAUACUACCAAAAUGAUUUAUAUAACAUACGGUGUGCAUCCACACUGUACAACUAAUACCUUUUGACACCACUUUAACUGUAAUGACUCAAUUCUGUGGAAUUCUGGGACUUGUAGUUUACUGCGACAGCACACUCUGGCAGAGAAGGCUAAUGGUCUUGUUACAACACAGAGCCCAGAAUAGUUAGUGGAGUGAGUGACUAUCAACAAUGGGCAGCAAUGUACACUGAAGCACUCCAGACACGCAUCUGGACUCUAGCUAAGAAGUCCUGGAGCACAUUAGGAAUAUCCAAUGCGCAUCAGAGGCACCUGAUGCACAGAUACAGGAUGGAUGACACCUGUCUUCAGAACAAUACAUACGAAAGGGAUCAAAGAAUCUUAGUAGACUUCAAGCUGAACAUGUGUCAACAGAGUGAUACAGAAGCUAGAAACGCUAAUGCAGUUCUAGACUGCAUCAGUUGGUAUAUUGUGUCCAGACUGAGGGAAUUGUUCUACAUUAUUCUGCUUUGGUCAAAUUUCACCUGGAAUCCUUCGUCCAGUUUUGAAAACUACAAUUCAAGAAGGAUAUAGAUAAGUUAGAAUGUGUCCAGAGAAGGGAGACAAAAUGCUCAAAAGUCUGGAAUCCGAGCCCUGUGAGGAGUAGCUGAGGGAACUAGGUAUAUUUAGCUUAGAGAAAAGAAGACUGAGAGAAGACAUGAUAGCCAUGUUUCAAUAUUUUAAUGAUGUCACAUUGAGGAAGGGCCUGCACUGGCAACUAGGAUACAGAGCAAUGGAUUAAGAUUGCAGGAAUCCACCUAAACUUUAGGAAAAACCUCCUGACCUUCGAAGGUUUUAUUUCGUGUCAAAAGCAUUGCAUAAUAAAUAAGUUUAAAAGUGAUGAAAUAAAGGAAUCACAAGCAGCUAAAUAGUUUUAGACCAAAAGUGGGUAACAGUGACCGUGUUGGGGUUGUUGUAUGUCUUUCAGGCUGUGUGGCCAUGUUCCAGAAGUAUUCUCUCCUGACGUUUCGCCCACAUCUAUGGCAGGCAUCCUCAGAGGUUGUGAGGUAUGGAUAAACUUAGGCAAGGCAAGGAAAGAAUAUAUAUCUGUGGAGAGUCCAGGGUGUAGCAAGAGUCCUUUGUCACUAGGAAGCCAGCAUUAAUGUUUCAGUUAAUCACCCUAAUUAGCAUUGGAAAGGUUUUGUCUCUUGCCUGGGGGCAUCCUUUGUUCAGUCAUUAGCUGCCCUCUGCCCUCAGAGUGUUGGUUCCCAUCUACUGUUUUGAUUUUAGAUUUUUUUUAAUACUGGUAGCCAGAUUUUGUUCAUUUUCAUGGUUUCUUCCUUUCUGUUGAAGUUGUCCAAAUGCUUGUGUAUUUCAAUGGCUUCUCUGUGUAGUCUGACAUGAUAGUUGUUGGAGUGGUCGAGCAUUUCUGUGUUCUCAAAUAAUAUACUAUGUCCAGGCUGGUUCAUCAAGUGCUCUGUGUUAAAGCUACCAUGUUGUCCAUAGCUUUAAACAACAACUCUGUACAUGAGGUAGGACAUUGUGGGCAAGCAUACAUAUGCAGAGUUUUUUGUUCUGCUCCAAAGUCACACAAGGUGGAGGAUUCCUCCAAGUAGUGCCACCUUGCCAAGUUGUCUUUUGAUCUGCCCACUCCGCUUCUGAGUCUGUUCAGGGACUUCCAAGUUGCCCAUUCUUGGUUUGCCCCUGGAGGAAGACCCUCAUGAGGGGCCAUCCAGUUGGAAUUGCCUGGUUUAUCUGCCCAGAGGGACACUUGCUGUUGGUGGAGGAACAUUAAGAGGAGUGGUGGUUCUCAUGAAGCCCUUCCUUGAUUUGAGUCUGGUGGGAGGAGGGUGAUAGUCAUGCAGUGGGUGGCUUUCGCAAUGUUCGACUUUACUUUUCUCACAGUUAACAGCAACUUCCCUUCGCACAUCGGGGGGUGGGGUGGGGGUGGGAAUGCCAGCUAACUUGUAGAGUUUAUCAACAGGUGUAGGUUUAAGGCAUCCUGUGAUUAUUCUGCAUGCUUCGUUAAGUGCUAUGUCCACCUGCUUCGAAUGGGCAGACUUUUGCCAGACUGGACAGGCGUACUCAGCAGUUGAGUAAGACAAGGCCAGGGCUGAUGUUCUUAUUACUUGUGGGUCUGCACCCCAUGUGCUGCCAGUCAGUUUCCGCAGGAUGUUGUUGCGUGCAGCUACUUUGUGCUUGGUGUUCAUGCAGUGUUUCCUAUAUGUUAGUGUUCAAUCUAAGGUGACACCAAAAUAUUUAGGAUGGAAACAAUGUUCGAGCUCUUGGCCUUCCCAAGUAACUUUUUUCAGAGGUUUUAAGCAGGGAGUGGGUGACCAUCUGUCAGGUAUGCUUUGAUUGAGUGUUCUGGGAGGGAAGGAGGUUGGCCUGGAUAGCCCUUGGGGUCUCCUCCAGUUCUAUGAUUCUGUGAUUAUAUGUGCACUACAGAAGCCCCGGUGGCGAAGUGCAUUAAAGCACUGAACUUGCAGACCGAAAGGUCCCAGGUUCAAACCCCGGGAGAGGCAGGAGCGACCGCUGUUAGCUCCAGCUCCUGCCAAACUAGCAGUUUGAAAACAUGCCAAUGUGAGUAGAUCAAUAGGUACCGCUCCAGCGAGAAGGUAACGGUGCUCCAUGCAGUCAUGCCGGCCACAUGACCUUGGAGGUGUCUAUGGACAACGCCGGCUCUUCGGCUUAGAAAUGGAGAUGAGCACCAACCCCCAGAGUCAGACACGACUGGACUUAACGUCAGGGGAAACCUUUACCUUUUAUGUGCACCACAAUACACUUUCUGGUGUCUGGAUUAUUACUGUAUAUGCAUGUAUGUGACUAAGUUUCUGUGGGAUCACUACUUGUGUAAGUGUGUGUUAAGAGAAAAACACCUGGUCAAUUACAAAUCAUGGUUGAGUAAUUGGAACAAUCAGGGCUAACAGGCUUGAGCCACUCCCUGAAUGGGGUAUAUCUGGGAAAUGUUUGCAAUGUCUUUUGGGGACUUACUGGGGGACUUACUGAAUGCUUGCUGAGAGCCUACUAUGAAGAUGCAUGAAUUUAAUGCAAGAGACUUUAUGUGAGUUUUUGUUGCUGGAAGUUUUAUUAUGAUUUUUGACUCUGCUACUUAAGAGUAAAUUUUGAUUUUCUCUUCCAUUUUCGUGGCUUGUUUUUCUUUUGCUCAUUGUGGAUAAGAAACAAAGGACUGGAUAAGUCUGGACAGGACUGCACGCAGUUUGUUUUUCUACAAACCCGUAACAUGGAUGUGCAUCUUUACAAUUCACUAGUAUAGUUUCAUUGCAUUUUCUGCAAUGUAGCAUCAGAUUUGUAAAGAUAUGAAACAAAGACUGAUGCCAAACCUUUUGUUUUCAUGUACUCAGAAGUGUUACAAGAGUACAGCAUCAUUCAGAUGUGGAUGAUCAAUUCCUGCCCUCUUGAAUUCUCAAAUGGUUUCAGUCUCAGCCAGCAGAUGGAAGAUUUUUCCUGUUUGGGGAGCUCUGAGAUCUGCUGCCAGUAAGAAUAGAUGAUAUAAGAAUAGAAAAACCAACAGUAUCAGCACCACGUGCUCUUCCAUUGUGCUUCACAGUUGGUUUGAUUCUUUUUUAAAGGAGAGGGCAUGUAAGGUAAUGCUUAGAAAAAGGAGUAUCUCUAAACUUUUUCCAAAUCACCGCCAGCUGGACUUUGUACCUUGGAUUUUCUCAAAGGAGCUGUAUUGGUGACUCUCUUUUUCAUUGUACCGAAAAAGGCGCUGAACUUUCAGAUGGAGUGGGUGGUUGGGGAGGACCAAUUCAAAGGAGAAUAGAGGUAAUUUGUAAAAGUUGAGACUGGCAUGAGCUUAGAGCCAAGGUGGCAGCACAAAGCACAUGCCACCCGACUUGGCACAUCAUCACAUAUAAUUUAAUGUGUGGGGUUGAUUUGCCACACUGUUGGGUUUCACUGAAACAUCUGCAGAAUCUGGAGAAAGAAUAGCGAUUGUUUCUCAUCCUCCGCCCAUCAAUCCGCUCCUGAUUUCAGGCUAUUUUUGAAAUGUCUUGUUAUACAUAUUCUCAGUUAACUGCCAGCUCAGAUUAGUCAUUUAGAAUUCCUGUUCUGCAUCACACACAAAAAACGGAAGGCAGAUUUUCAUGAAUGACUUUGAAAAUUACAGCAAGAUCACAUGGAGGGAGGCUGCUUUUGUUCAAACGCAGGCAUCACAUUCGUGAUUAUUUUGCUCAACUGUCAUCUUAUGAUGUCUCUGUGCUGGUGCCUUGACUUACUUCCUAGAGUCUUCACACACCAAGUUGACUUCGCUUCUUUCUAUUUGUUGCUUAUGGAAAACUGGAUGAGAAGAACUAAUCCGUGCAAGGACUAGAAUACAGUGGCAUCUGUAUGUUGAUUUGAGUGAAAAGAAACUAGAAUAAUAGGCUAUAAAAGAAAGUAUUUUAGAAAAAGUUAAUGAUAAAUGUAUAUUGGUUUGUAAGUCCUUCGUUAAGUUUGCUUCUGGUUUUAAUAAUAAAAAUAAAUGGUUUUGAUUCUGGGGGCAUUUUUGUGGGGUUCAAGUAGGUUUUGAAAGUAUAUUAAGGGCUUAUUGGGGCUGGGGGAAAAAUCUGCAUUUUGCAGUGCUUGGAAGCCAUGGGGAGUUGCAAAUCACCAAGAAAAAAAAGUAAAAUAUUUUUAGGGGCUUCAAAGCUACACUUUGGCUCCUAAAGUUAGCCUGUGUCACUUUACCCACCCUUGUGGUUUAUCCUUACCAAGGAAUGGGUGAAAUGGAGCUGAAGAGCAUUUUGAGGAACUUGUUUUUAGCUCCCUAGAUUUAUUCAUCCAUAACCAUGUGAGGAGGAUCAGCCACCCAGGAGGCUGCCACCACUAUUUUCUUCCCAGGGAUUCAAAAAGGGCACAAGUAGCACUAUGGCAGAUAGAGUUGAAGGGGUCAGCUCUUCCUUUAGGUUCUCCCAGAAUGGACUAAGCUCUCACCUUUCUCUUCUACUCAUUUUUGAUAAGAGUAAGAUGCAGUACUUACCCUGGCCUGUGAAUAAGUCGACCCCGGGUUUUUGUGUCAACUCUUUCAUUUUUACUAAGGAUCCAUCUCCACUGUAGAAUUAAUGCAGUUCAAUACCGCUUUAACUGCUAUGGAAUGGCUUAAUGCUAUGGAAUCCUGGGACUUGUAAUUUGGUGAGGCACCAGCACUCUAUGGUAGAGAAGACUAAAAACCUAGUGAAACUACAUCUCCCAGGAUGCCUUAGCAUUGACCUAUGGUAAGUAAAGCAGUUUCAGACUGCCAUAAUGCUAUGAUUUCUAGACUUAAUACAUGAGUAUGUACAGUUGUUGGGUAUAAUUAGGUAUACCUAGUUAAGUAGAUGUAGAAUACUGGCCCUUAUUUUCCCAUAGAAGACUUUUGAGAUCAUUGGCUAUCUCUGGCUUCCAUCAUCUUCACAAGAUAGAUUGCUACAUGAGUAUGUAUAGUAGUUAGGUAUAAUGAGGUAUACUUAGUUAAGUAGAUGUAGAAUACUGGCCCUUAUUUUCCCAUAGAAGACUUUUAAGAUCAUUGGCUAUCUCUGGCUUCCAACAUCCUCACAAGAUAGAUUGCUGUUGUGUGCCUUCAAGUUGUUUCUGAUGUAUGGUGACUCCAAGGUGGCCCUAUCACUGGGUUUUUAGGGUUGAGUGACUCACUCAAGGUUACCCAGUGGGUUUCCAUUGCUGUGUGGAAUAUGGAACCCUGAUCUCCAGAAUCGUAGUCCAUUGCUCAAACCACUAUCACAUGCUUCUGUCUUCACAUGCAGAUGGGUAGGUGAUCACUUCGGUAGCUGGUCCAUGGUCUCUGCUACUUCAAUCUUUUUUUGCCAGCUGCUUAGCAUUUUUUUCUUCAGCUAUUAAACAAUUGCUGCAACAAAGUCUUAAUGAAUAUGUAUGUGAUUUGCUGUAAUUCUAUCCACAUUAUUAUAUUUUAAAUGCUUUUACAUUGUUUUAAAAUUAGUGCUAUUUUUAAUGGGCAUCUCUGCAUGGGGCUCAUUCCCCCUUUGGUUCUAAAAUGCAUUAAAACUGUUUUAAUGUAGUGCUCGGUUUUAAUAUGAUAGCUCAUAUAAUUGUGCCUAUAAUUGUAAUAAUAUAGUUGUAAUUCUUGUAAAUUGUGUUAUAAUUGUAAUAAUAUAAUUAUAACACUUAUAAAUUGUGUUAUAAUUGAUUGAAUCAUAGCUGUAUUUGAAUUCAUGUUGUACACUGCAUUGGAUCCUAUGAGAUAUGAAAUAAAUAGACUCAAAGGUAAGGACCAUUGCCAACCUCGGUAACUGUAAUCCUAACAACAAGUUUUAUCUACUGCAUACUGCAUAUUUUAACUUGGGUACAUACAUUACAAUACUUCAGGAUUCCAGAAGACCUUCAUUUCUCAUUUCUAAAUAAUGUUUUCAUGCCUGAUUCCUGUUUGGAGAAGCAAGCCAUGGGUUUCUUUUCUGUGGUUUGUUUCUUCUGGUUCCUGAACCUUCCCAAAUGUCUUUUCUCCAUCAAACCAGAGCCAAAUACUUCCAUAGGUUGAUAGGCAACUUGAAGGCAUACACACACAUAAGGACUGACUGACAUGGGUGUGAAAGGGUCAAAUUUAAGUAUGUGAUUCAGUCAGAGUAAAGUUUAUAGAAUAAUCAAAGUACAUGCACCCAAAAAGCACCAGAUCCCUUCUGAUAUUGGAAAGGUCCACUCUUGUUUGUACUUCGAUAGGAGACUGCCAAUGAAUACCAGGUGCUAUAAGCUAUAUUUGAGUAAAGGAAUGGGGAAAACUAUCUCUGUGUGUUUCUUACCUGAGAAAACCUUGUGAAAUUCAUGAGCUCAACAGGAGAUUUUAAGGCACAUGCACAAGAUCUGAGUUUGGUUCCUGAUUUUGGGAAAAGGUGCCUUUUUGGACUUUAAUGCCACGCAUCCCCUGGCCAGCUCUGCUAUGUUGGGAUUUUGGGAGUGACAAUCUAAAAAAGAACCUCCCCGUGGUGCAGAAAAACUGUCAAUGAAUAAUAAUAAUAAUAAUAAUAAUAAUAAUAAUAAUAAUAAUAAUUUAUUAUAAUGCAAUUUAUUAGGAUUUCUAAAGGCAUGGGACAGUGAUAAAGUGCAGGAUGCUAGGAUAUAGAUAACGGUAGGGGCUCACUCUGAAGGAUCUUCUUAAUCAAAGGUGGCUUGGAUACCAAAUGCUGUAGGCUCUGUUUCAGAGGAAGGAAAUGGCAAAACCACUUCUGAAAAUUCUUUGCCUAAGAAAACUGUAUUAAAUUCAUGGGAUCUCCAUUGGUAAAGGUAGAGGUUUUCUCCUGACAUAAAGUCCAGUCAUGUCCGACUCUGGGGGUUGGUGUUCAUUUCUAAGCUGAAUAGCCGGUGUUGUUCAUAGAUGCCUCAAAUGUCAAGUGGCCAGCAUGACCGCAUGGAGCACCAUAACCUUCCCACCAAAGCAGUACCUAUUGAUCUACUCACAUUUGCAUGUUUUCGAAUUGCUAAGUGGGCUGCAGGAAACUCACCCCACUCCCUGAAUUCAAAUCCAGCAGCUCAGCAGUUUGACUGCUGCACCACCGUGGGUCUCCAUAAGUUGACACAAAUUUGAAGGCAGAAACAUACAAUACAUAUAAUUAUAUGAAUGCACAAACUUUGUUAUAGAAAAGGAUAUUCAAGUGGAAAGGGAUGGACAUUCUGUUGGUCAAACUGGCCUGUACCUUGAUCCUUUUUCUGGAGAUGCCAGGGACAGCACCUGCCACCCUUCCCUAUGCAAAGCAUGCACUGUUGUCGAAAAGCCUUCUCUUUUGCCUCAAUGAUUUUACAGAGAAAUGGGUUCUCAAAAGAAUCUUGGAUUGAUUGAAGCCAAACAGUUUCUGGAUAUGAUUUCUUUUCCAGGGCCAAUCUAUGUAAUUACGCUUCUUAGCCGUGAGGCAUUCCCGGAUCAAACAAAAUCUCCUUUCUUAUCCUGUCUGAGAGAGUGCCUUCCUCUUCGAAAUGCACACAAGCUUCAACCAGGAGAGUAUCGAGCCAUAAAAAGGAGCGGAAUCAAAAGGCAAUGGAGAAGAAAGCCAUGCACAAUGCCCAGGGAAACCAUAGUGUGCCACAGAGGCACCCUCCUACCAUGCGCUGCGGCUGGAUUUCAUCAACAGGUGGAGGGUGGGGAGGGAGAGAAGGCUGGCGGGUGAAACAACGAGUCUCCACUUUCUUUUCUUUUUCAAUACACCGCUAGCAAUUUUCUACACUUCAAAGCUGGGGCAACCUGCCCAGGAACAUGUCGACCUUUGGCACAGUUAUUUCGCUUUCCAAAACUUAAAAACACUUGACUGAAAAUGGAACGAGGGAGGGGGGCUGACAUUUAUUUCUUUCAGCCUUUAGUUUAGUCUCUUUACCCUGCUAAGAAGGUUACAAAAAGAUGGUUCUUGGAAGUAAUUGAAGUCCCGAGUGAAGCAGCUUGUGAAACUGACUCAUUCCAGGUCAAAGCAUUCAGCUUAAGGUGCUCUGUGGUCAAGGCCCUAUUAGACAUUACUUGCCCAAGAAACCCUGUGAAAUGCAUGGAGUUGCCAUAAGUCAACAGAGGAUAGGAGCCCAGUGGCGAAGUGUGUUAAAGCACUGACCUGCUGAACUUGCAGACCAAAAGGUCUCAGGUUCAAAUCCCAGGAGCGGAGUGAGCGCCCGCUGUUAGCUCCAGCUUCUGCCAACUUAGCAGUUCGAAAACAUGCCAAUGUGAGUAGAUCAAUAGGUACCACUCCCGCCGGGUAGGUAAUGGCACUCCAUGGAGUCAUGCCAGCCACAUGACCUUGGAGGUGUCUAUGGACAACGCCAGCUCUUUGGCUUAGAAAUGGAGAUGAGCACCAACCCCCAGAGUCAGACAUGACUGACUUAAUGUCAGGGGAAACCUUUACCUUUUAACAUGCCUGUACGUACAAGGCAUAAAGCUCUACCACUACUUAUGGUGGAGAUCUGAGAAGGAGGCACAAGCCAGCCAUAUAUGGGGUGAGAUAACUCUUCCAGGAGCUGUUUGGAUCUGAGUUUCAGGUGCCACACACCUUUGGUUGUGCAACAACAUACAAGCAAAAUUCAAUUGACAAAGCCUUUGACAAUGAAGUUAUCUUUAUGCUGUAUCCAACCACGUUUUCUUCCUCAUCAUUCUUGUACUUCAGUGGUUGCCAACCUUUGGUCCUCUAGGUGUUUUGGACUUCAUCUCCCCUAAUUCCUAAUAGCUGGUAAGUCACCUGAGAUUUCUGGGAGUUGAAAUCCAAAACAACUGGAGGGCCAAAGGUUAGGAACAACUGCUUAGCUGAAAUGUUGUUAAUGUUUGAAGAAGUGCCAACACGGAGGAUUCUGAAAGAGAUGCAGACCCUUUGCAGCCAUGUCUAUAGUGGCAAAAAAGGCAGAUUUAUCCCAAAGCAGGUACUGGCCAGGACAAUCCUCAUUCUUAUUUUGCCUUUACCGUAGCUUUGCCCCAAGCUAAGCAAAGCCAAGCAAAUGUCAAGUGUGUCCUUGGGUUCUUUUGCUAUGUGGACAGCUGGAUCAGGUCUAUCAUUUUUAGUGAACUUCCUAACUGUGAGAGCUGUUCAGCAGUGGAACCCUCUGCCCCGAACUGUGGUGGAGACUCCUUCUUUGGAGGCUUUUAAACAGAGGCUGGAUGGCCAUCUGUCGGGGUGCUUUGAAUGCGAUUUCCUGCUUCUUGGCAGGGGGUUGGACUGGAUGGCCCAUGAGGUCUCUUCCAACUCUAUUAUUCUAUGAUUCUAGGUCUAAUUUUGCUGUAUCAGUUGACCGAAUCGCAGAAGCUGUGCCCUAUGGUUUCCAAAAUAUCCACUUACCAUAUUGGCUGGGAAAUUCUGGGAACUGUAGUUCAUCAAUGUAACCCUCUAAAUCCCUCCUUUGCCAUUGUUUCUAAAAUAUUUAGGAAUGUUCUAAAAUAAAGAGCUUUCCAAACCUCUUCACAGGUCUAUCAAUCAAUCCCUGAACUGUUGACAUUUCCAGUUUGGAGGUACAAAGUGUGUGUGAUCUUGCCUCCUUUGAGAAUUAAUAGUGUGCUUGUGUACCAGUUAUGGAUAUGUACUGCAAGUGUAUCUAAUACUGUUAAGUAAUGGACAGGCACUAAUGUCUUUUUCAUUUUCUGUGAUACAGGUUUAAAGCUGGCUUUCUUUGGCAAUCUCAUAAGGAAAGAUGAUAGUGUUUGACAAUGCUGAAGGCCAUAAGGAAAGAUGAAUAUCACGAUAGGGAUCGGUUAAGUCAACCAAGGUCAAGACCUGCUAUAAUGGUGUCUUGGAUUCAUUCACUCAUAGAGUUGCUGUAAGCCAACUUGACAACAGCUAAAACAAGAUACAGAAGUAGACAUGAUUCAUGAGAGUGCCAUCCUGGAGUAUUUGACUAUUACAGGUAUAGAAAUGUGAUACCUGAAAUGCUUUUGGAUCUGUCUCCAUUCCUCGUUCUCAAUCUCUUUUUGUGGCUGAAACUUCCAGAAUUGUCAGAAUGUUCAUGCUAUUAUACUGAAAUUAUUAUUUGCAAUUCAACAUUUAUAUUUUUAGAUGUGUGGGAUUUUGGUAAUUUCCAUGCAAGAAUGAAGAUUUGAAUGAAUUCUUCCACAAUUCAGACCUAUGUUUUUAUUAUUUUCUAUCAAUUCCAUACCCAGUGGUGCAGCAGGUUAAACUGAUGAGCUGCUAAACUUGCUGACCGAAAGGUAGGUGGUUCGAAUCUGGGGAGCGGAGUGAGCUCCCGCGGUUAGCCCCAGCUUCUGCCAACCUAGCAGUUCGAAAACAUGCAAAUGUGAGUGGAUCAAGUUACCACUUCAGUGGGAAGGUAACGGCACUCCAUGCAGUCAUGCCAGCCACAUGACUUUGGUGGUGUCUAUGGCUCUUCAGCUUAGAAAUGGAAGGGAGCACCAAUUCCCAGAGUCGGACACCACUGGACUUAAAAUCAGGAGAAAAUCUUUACCUUACCAUUAUCAAAUGCUAUGGGUGAAACAUGGUGAGGGAAUUCCUAUAAUGCUUUGCUUCUGAACCGGCUAGAGACAUAGGAGUUGGUAGCACUGGCCAGUUUGAGUCUUCGCAAGGUCCAGGACUGGAAUUGUUGGAAGAUGUGAUCCAAUAGCAGCUGGAGGCCCACACAAUCUCCAUUCCAGUAUAAAAUGACAAAAAUCCUAUGUAUGAGCCUAUGUGGUUUGCAGGGUCAGCAAAGAAGAAUUUGAGAAAAGCUCUGGAGAGACUAGAGCAGGGGUCCCCAAACUAAGGCCCGGGGGCCGGAUGCGGCCCUCCAAGGUCAUUUACCUGGCCCCCGUCCUCAGUUUUGUAAUAUAAUAUUUUUAUAUCCAUUUUAAUAAUAUAAUAUAUUGUAUAUACAUAUAAUAUUGAUAAUAAUAUUAUGUUAUACAAUAUAAUACUACUACUAAUAAUAAUAAUACCAUAUAAUAAUAUUAAUUAUAUGUUAUAUAUUACAUAUUAUAUAAUAGUAUAGUGGUGUAGUUCACUAUAUAAAUAUAUAAUGCUAAUAUUGUGCUAUGCUAAUAAUAUAAUGUAUUGUAUGUACAUACAGCUGCUCUGAGUCCCCUUCGGGGUGAGAAGGGUGGGAUAUAAAUGUAGUAAAUAAAUGCAGUAAAUAAAUAAUUAAUUUUAGACUUAGGCUCACCCAAAGUCUGAAAUGACUUGAAGGCACAGAAUACCAACAAUCCUACUUAACUUGACUAUCUCAUUGGCCAGAAGCAGGCCCACACUUCCCAUUGAAAUCCUGAUAGGUUUAUGUUGGUUAAAAUUGUUUUCAUUUUUAAAUAUUGUAUUAUUCUUUCGUUGUUGUUGUUGCACUACAAAUAAGACAUGUGCAGUAUGCAUAGGAAUUUGUUCGUAUUUUUUUUUUCAAAAGAUAAUUCAGCCCCUCAACAGUCUGAAAGAUAGUGGACCGGCCCUCUGCUUCAAAAGUUUGAGGACCCCUGGACUAGAGAGACAUUUCCAUUGUUGAGCAAUGAAUGCAACCAAGUCCUUAGCAGCAGCAGUCUUCCCAAAGGGAUGUAUGCACUCUAGUGAGAUCUUUGUUUUUCUGGGUGUGCUGAUUCACAAAGAGCCAGACACAGUGAGUGACUCUCCAUAACUGAUUCAUAGGUUUGGUCUUCUGGAUGGCCAGUUGCUUAAUACUGCCUAUAUUAGGAGUCUGCAAAGUUUUUUUCAUUGUGCUUGGGUUCUCCUUUUUGACUUCCACCCAAGCAUCAAGUUCAAGAAGACUUUUAACAUGUUCCUUUCUAUAAGAAAGAACUAAAGCCACCAUUAUCAGACAGUAGCCUAAAUCCAAAUAAAAGUUGCCAAUUCCUUCUCCAAAAUGAGUGGGACCAGAAGUGUUUUGCAUUUUCCUUUACUGAUUUUGGAAUACCCAUAUUCUCAUAUACAGUGGUCCCUUCAUAUUUGCAGGAACACAAAGUUCAUUUAUGUUUCAUGCAUGUCUUACACCCAUAGCCUGAAGGUAAUUGUAUACAACAUUUUAAACAUUUUUGUGCAAUAACAAAGUUUGUGUACAUUGAUCCAUCAGAAAGGAAAGGUGUCACUUUCUUAGCCACAUAUGGAGACAAUUUUGGAUUUCAGAAUUCUGGAUAACUAUGGGAACUGUAGUUUUACAAAGUCUUCAGCCUCCUCUGACAAAAAGUGCCAGUGCCUCACCAAACUACAAAUACCCUAAUUACUUAGCAGUGACUUGUAGGAAUAAAUGUAGUAUCAAACUGCAUUAAUUCUACAGUGUAGACCCACUCUUUGGAAUUAGCACAUAGGCUUACAUAAAAGUUUCCCUGUUACAUGGCAUUUACAGUUCAUUUUGGGAGAAUAAAUAUGAGAUAUCUUGCCCUAAAUAUUUUAUUUAAAGAAAAUAUUCCGCAAUUCAAUUUUCUCUGACUUUUUGCGGAGGGAAAAAAAGAGGCUUUGGAAAAGAUUAUUUUUAUCCAAAGCCUUCACAUCUCUGAAAACUAUUUCAGAGAGGGCUAGAUAGACAUGUAGCCUGACCUGACAUAAGGCAACAUCCUCUAUUCGUACUCUGUUCUAGGCAUAUAUUCUAAAUCUAUGUAGAGCCAAUGUGAAAAACAAACAAACCAGAAAUGCAAAUGCGAAACCCACAAUCCCCAAAUCUCUGGCUGCUGACAGCUGAGGAUAAACAGGAUGGGUUCAUGUCCCCAUAGAUCAGUGGCGAUACACUUCUCUCUCUCUCUCUCUCUCUCUCUCUCUCUCUCUCUCUCUCUCUCUCUCUCUCUCUCUCUCUCUUUGGCAACACUAAACAAAUUUAAAAUACAAGACUGAGAUGCUUGACUCACAAUUCAAUACCUAUGCAGAUGCCUUGCCCCACGAGCAAGGAAGUAUAAUGCUGUGAAUCUGGAUGUGAAUGUAUCCUGACUUGAAUUUGCAAAAUAAACCUUUUGGGCUACAA